rnacentral:rRNA from 1 species
AGUGAACGCUGGCGGUAGGCCUAACACAUGCAAGUCGAACGGCAGCACAGUAAGAGCUUGCUCUUACGGGUGGCGAGUGGCGGACGGGUGAGGAAUACAUCGGAAUCUACUUUUUCGUGGGGGAUAACGUAGGGAAACUUACGCUAAUACCACAUACGACCUACGGGUGAAAGCAGGGGAUCUUCGGACCUUGCGCGAUUGAAUGAGCCGAUGUCGGAUUAGCUAGUUGGCGGGGUAAAGGCCCACCAAGGCGACGAUCCGUAGCUGGUCUGAGAGGAUGAUCAGCCACAAUGGAACUGAGACACGGUCCAGACUCCUACGGGAGGCAGCAGUGGGGAAUAUUGGACAAUGGGCGCAAGCCUGAUCCAGCCAUACCGCGUGGGUGAAGAAGGCCUUCGGGUUGUAAAGCCCUUUUGUUGGGAAAGAAAAGCAGCAGGUUAAUACCCCGCUGUUCUGACGGUACCCAAAGAAUAAGCACCGGCUAACUUCGUG